rnacentral:rRNA from 1 species
UACGGAGGAUCCAAGCGUUAUCCGGAUUUAUUGGGUUUAAAGGGUGCGUAGGCGGAUUGAUAAGUUAGAGGUGAAAUGUCCGAGCUUAACUCGGGAACUGCCUCUAAUACUGUUGAUCUAGAGAGUAGAUGCGGUAGGCGGAAUGUAUGGUGUAGCGGUGAAAUGCUUAGAGAUCAUACAGAACACCGAUUGCGAAGGCAGCUUACCAAUCUAUACCUGACGUUGAGGCACGAAAGCGUGGGGAGCAAACAGG